rnacentral:rRNA from 2 species
UACAGAGGUCUCAAGCGUUGUUCGGAUUCAUUGGGCGUAAAGGGUGCGUAGGCGGCGAUGUAAGUCGGGUGUGAAAUCCCGGGGCUCAACCCCGGAACUGCAUUCGAUACUGCAUUGCUUGAGGACUGGAGAGGAGACUGGAAUUCACGGUGUAGCAGUGAAAUGCGUAGAUAUCGUGAGGAAGACCGGUGGCGAAGGCGGGUCUCUGGACAGUUCCUGACGCUGAGGCACGAAGGCCAGGGGAGCAAACGGG